rnacentral:lncRNA from 1 species
UUGAUGUGUAUCAAGAGCAGUAGUAUUAGAGCUGACCAAGCUUCCAAACCAUGCGAGUAAAAUUAUUUAAAGACCCACUAUAAAAUCCUUGAAGCAUAAAGAAAUAGAUAUUUAGGUAUGAUGUUCAUACAAAGUGUUAUAUAUUUCCUUGCAUCAUAGUUUUAUAGGCAAACACCUAAUAAAAAAUAUAUAUAAGAAAGAGAGUAAUUUCGAUAAAAUACAACUCUUUCUCACUGUUACAAGUAUUAUAUCCCUGUCAAAGCCAUGGUGGUAGUCAUUGUUCUUAUAUAUAAAGUUCUUUAUAUUAAUAAUACAAAAUAAUAAUUACAUCAAUCUGCUAUACUAAUUGAUUCUCUACUCCCCAUCAAUCCGCUAUACUAAUUGAUUCUCUACUCCCCAUCAAUCCGCUAUACUAAUUGAUUCUCUACUCCCCAUCAAUCCGCUAUACUAAUUGAUUCUCUACUCCCCAUCAAUCCGCUAUACUAAUUGAUUCUCUACUCCCCAGGUAUUUUCCGCUUCCACGAUUGACAUCUGCAGCAUGAGAGAGAGAGAGAGAGAGAGGUGUUCGAUGGAGAGAGCGUCGAGGCAGUGGCAGCAGGCAGGACACGAGAGGGCGGCUGCAAGGGGUGAGGAGGGAACGAAGAAAGUGAGUGAUCCAAGUGUGCCCGACCACGCCGACGCAGACCGACGCUCGGUCGGCGACUCCCACUCCUCUUUCCACUCUCUUCUCCCCUCCUUACAUUCCUUCUCUCUCCCUCUCAUCUUCUUUGUCUCCUGCAUGGACCGAUCCAUGGCGCUGCAUCGAAUCGAGCAUCGUCGUCGUCGCCCAUUGCCUGCUGGUCACCGCCGCCGCCGAAAAAGCUCGCCUCCGCGCCCCAUGCCUCGGAUGCUCCUCAUGCAUCUGCCCCCUUGCUCUCCUCGCUGUGCUCACGCCCCGCAAACCACGUGCUUGUGCCGACGGGGAGAGUAGAGGAGUAGACGACCACGACCUCCUCCUCCUCACGCAUGUGCCCCUCCCUCCGAUCCAUGGCGCUGCAUCGAAUCGAGCGUCCCCGUCAUCGCCCAUGGCUUGCAGGUCACCGCCGCCGCCGAAGAAGCUCGCCUACGCGUCCGCAUGCCUCGGAUCCGGCAGGCGCGCUGCCCCCUGGUCCUCCUCCUCAUGUAUCUGCUCUCUUCAUCUCCUCGCUCUCCUCACGCCCCGCGAUAGUGUCCUGAUCACUCGAACCCAUCUGGGUGGAGAACACCUAAUUUAGGUGGUCAGAUCCUUAUAUAACAGUAAGUUCACCAUGUCAGCCUAGUAAAAUCCAAUCUAAACACCAUGAAAUUUACAGAAUAAAAUACAAACAAGCAUGCUCAGUUAAAUCCUGCCUAUAGAUUAUAGAACUGUGAAAUGCCUAAACGAUGAUAUGCUAACACCUUCUACAAGCAUUCUGUCACUUAGCUGGUGUCAAAAUAACAACACAAUCAGCCAUGUUUAUCAAUAUAGAAGUUAUGUGGUUGUGUCGAUAUAAAAGACGCUGCACAAUAGUACCUUGGGUGGCAUCAGGAAGAUAGCCUUUCUGGAGGUGGCUCAGGCUUGUCCUGCAAACAACCCAUUAUAUAUAUCGGCAACAAACCAUGCGCGUGUGCGCGCACGCACACACACAUACAAGGAAAGAGAACCAUUGUUCUUCAGUUAUUUCCAUGUAAACAGAUUUUGAACGACAAUGUGAGAACAUGAGGACAUAAAGAUCACAAACAACAGUACAGGAAACAUAAACAUUCAUGUAGCGACCCUGUUAAAUAUUGUUCCCACUCAGCAGCUAUCCCAUAGAUAGAAAGGCGAACAACAAGGAACACAUGUAUGAGAUAAAUGGUGACCUACAGUCUUAUGUAGGCGCAUCAAUAAACUACACAACAUUCUUGGAGAAAAUAGAGAAUGCAAGAAAAUACAUACAAAUGCAUUGAGUCAAUAAUCAAAUAACAUACUUCUUAUUGUCUAUUUUGCUUGUAAUAACAAAGCCAAAACCAUUUGCUAUUUCAAACGUAAACUCACGCAUCUCUUUUACAAAUCAGACAAGAGCACCUACCAUCAAGAGCAGCCUGAAACAACGUCAUGAAGCAAGAAACAACAGUGGCACUAAAAACAUACUUUACUUUUGUAAGUGCGAACUUCUACUUCCAUCCAGCGACCAAAUUAUAGGACUGCCUUCUGCAAGGAUUUGAAGAAAAGAGUUACCCCAAAUGCAGACUUCUACAUAUGAGAAACUGCAACAACCUGCUUGUCCUCUUGUACAAAUUCCUCAUAUGAACAAUCAUAUUUCCAUGUGUAAAAUAUAAAUACAAAAUACUGGUUAUUCUACCCAUACAAGACAAGCUGAAGAAUAAUAAUCUAACCUUUCAUGGAUCACCAUAAUAAAAGCUAUUGUAGAAAAUAAUUUGGGCAAUCAAUUUCUGUGAGACCAAAAAAUGCAAGAAAAGCCGAUUAGUUGGGUCAGAAUAUUGCACCACUCGAUCAUCUCGGCAUUAUAGUUGCAGCCACCCAUAAAAACCAUGAAUGCUUCACACUAAAUAGGCAUAUACAUCGGAAUUUAGAGGGGAAUCACCGGAUGUAGUGUGCUAUGAGGCUGUUGAACUUGGUUGUCAUGUUGUCACUGCGCUGGAAACCUCGCUGAAAAGAUUCAAGAAGAAGC